GAUGAAGAACGUAGCGAAAUGCGAUAAGUAGUGUGAAUUGCAGAAUUCCGUGAAUCAUCGAAUCUUUGAACGCACAUUGCGCCUUCUGGUAUUCCGGAAGGCAUGCCUGUUCGAGAGUCAUUAACAACCGUUUCGAUCCCUUUCUUUCAGAAAUUACAAAGAGGAAAAGGGUUUGGUUAUGGUGGAGGAGGGAAAGGGAGCGUUUAGCCUGUAAAAAAAGAGGCUGUGUUCCGCCUCCCCCCCAAAAUUGUACAGGCGGUCGUGUGCGCCCACGCAUCGAGGUGUUGUAAAAGCUGCCACGGCACUUUUCACCUGUGCAGUGCGAGAUUGGCCAGCCGGUUUAAAAACCCCUCCAAACAAUCCAAGGUUGACCUCGGAUCAGGUAGGGAUACCCGCUGAACUUAAGCAUAUCAAUAAGCGGAGGA
rnacentral:misc_RNA from 1 species